GGAGGUAAAAGUCGUAACAAGGUUUCCGUAGGUGAACCUGCGGAAGGAUCAUUAUUGUAUAACCGAGGUGCGAGGGCUGUCGCUGACCCGAAAGGUCGUGCACGCCCGAGUGCCCUCACACACAUCCAUCUCACCCCUAUGUGCACCACCGCGUGGGUCCCCCUUUGGCUUGUUCGGAGGGGGGCUUACGUUUUCACACAAACUUUGUAUGCAGUGUAGAAUGUAUUUUUUGUUUUUGCGAUCACGCAAUCAAUACAACUUUCAACAACGGAUCCCUUGGCUCUC
rnacentral:misc_RNA from 1 species